AUUGAACGCUGGCGGCAUGCUUUACACAUGCAAGUCGAACGGCAGCACGGGUGCUUGCACCUGGUGGCGAGUGGCGGACGGGUGAGUAAUACAUCGGAACGUAUCCUAAAGUGGGGGAUAACGCAUCGAAAGAUGUGCUAAUACCGCAUACACUCUGAGGAGGAAAGUAGGGGAUCGAAAGACCUUAUGCUUUUGGAGCGGCCGAUGUCUGAUUAGCUAGUUGGUAAGGUAAUGGCUUACCAAGGCAACGAUCAGUAGUUGGUCUGAGAGGACGACCAGCCACACUGGGACUGAGACACGGCCCAGACUCCUACGGGAGGCAGCAGUGGGGAAUUUUGGACAAUGGGCGCAAGCCUGAUCCAGCAAUGCCGCGUGAGUGAAGAAGGCCUGGUGUAACGCUUAGUCUAGGAAAAGGGUAGGCGAGGUAGUACCUACGUGCUUG
rnacentral:rRNA from 1 species